AAAUUCUGCCAUACAACCGACGUCCCCUGUUUCAUUUGGGGUUGAAAUCUAUAACAAAUUAACAAUAUAUAUUUUAAAACAUAGCUCAUACCAAUCUGAGUUUAUAUAGCUCGACUCGAUCAGUCCAGGUAAGCAGCGAGGAACAAACAUGUGUGGGUUAGCCGUGUAAAGCACAUCUAUUCAAGCUUCCGUGUCGGGGCUUCUCCAAGACGCCAACUUCUCCGUCGGGAUGUCAAUCGGACCUAAGGUCCACGGGCCUGGUCCGUUUAGGGAUAUAGCGGGACGGGUUUAGACCCAUGUUAAGAAGCCAAAAAAACGUGGACCUCGUGGUCCUGGUCUGUUUGGAUCGCGGGAAAACUAGUUUGUCCAUUUUUCACCGCGGGUUUGCGGUUGACCCGCUUCUUCUUCUCCAUUAGUAUGAUAGUGUCUUU